UACCAGCACCCCGAGUGGUCGGGACGAUUAUUGGGCCUAAAGCAUCCGUAGCCGGUCCUGCAAGUCUUCCGUUAAAUCCAGCUGCUCAACAGAUGGGCUGCGGGGGAUACUACAUGGCUAGGAGGCGGGAGAGGCAAGCGGUACUUUAUGGGUAGGGGUAAAAUCCGUUGAUCCAUAGAAGACCACCAGUGGCGAAGGCGGCUUGCCAGAACGCGCUCGACGGUG
rnacentral:rRNA from 1 species